AAGCUCGUAGUUGAAUUUCGGGAUUAAUUUAUUGGUCGUGCAAUAGUACGUACUGGUAUUAUUGAUUCCUACCUUCUGACGAACCAUGAUGUCAUUAAUUUGGUGUCAUGGGGAAUCAGGACUGUUACUUUGAAAAAAUUAAAGUGUUUAAAGCAGGCUCACGCUUGAAUACAUUAGCAUGGAAUAACGAAAUAGGACGUUUGAUUCUAUUUUGUUGGUUUCUAGGAUCGACGUAAUGAUUAAUAGGGAUAGUUGGG
rnacentral:rRNA from 1 species